rnacentral:lncRNA from 1 species
GAUAAUUUAUUUUCCCUCUUCAUAAUCCUAAAUUCUAGUUCCUGGGUACAUUAAUACAUCCCAACACCUAACAACAAACUGCCCUUGUUUUGAAACAGACUGAUGCUGCUGUUUUAGGGAUAUAAAGUCUUGGUUCAAAACAUUUUCAGGCAAAAAAUUGUAAAACCAUUCAGUUGAACAGAUGUGCUUUAGUACUGAUGAUGUAGAGAUGCAAAGGUGAGAGCAACAUCAUCUUUGCCAUCGGGAAGCAUCCACUCUAAAUGUUUUAGUCACAGGGCUGUGUGUUCACACCAUGAAUUGUGAGAUCCCCAUGUUUACAAAGGAAAAUUCUUCCUAUGAGUCUCCCUGUUGCUAGGUAUCUUACUUUCUUGUCUCUGGGACAAUAUACCUGACAUCCACAACUUAAAAGAGGAAAGGCUUGUUUUGGCUCACAGUUCUUUCAUAGAGGUUUCAGUCCAUGGUUGGCUGCCUCCGAGGCAGAAGAGCAUGGCAGAGGAGAACAGCACAUGACAUGGAAGAAGGAAGCAAAGCGAUCAGGGGAGGAGGGAGGGAGACAGACUUGCCAGGCAGUGCCUCCAGUGACCCACCUCUUCCAACCAGGCUUCACAUCCCAAGUCAUCAGAGGAGCAACCCACCAAUAAGUAUCAUGCCCCUAGGGUCCAUUCACAUCCCCAAAGCCCCACAUAUGAGCACAUGAGGCUUUGAGAGUAUAAACCAUAGCACUAGGUUUUUUUUUUUUUUUUUAAAUAAAUCCUCCCAUUAUCAUGACUUCAUUUGGUUUAUUGUGGUGUUUUAUCUUUUUUCUUUUCCUUCUUCCCAGUGUUGAAAAAGAAGAGUUCUAUUAAUGCCCAGCAUUUAUCCAGUGGCAGUGUAUGUACAAUACCCUAAUCAGGAACCCAGAGCCUUAAGAAAAUUUCAUUUCUAGAGCAACAAGAUUGGAGUUCAUUACGUCCAGACUUGAUCUCUGUCCCUUAACCUGUGGAUACAAAGGGCUGACUGUAUAUAAUAUGAAUUAAAUAGGAUCAGCAUGAUAUCAGACUUCAUUUAAAGUUACUACCUCCAGUUAUGGACCCAAAACCGAUGAAGCUGAAACAUCCCAGGACACCACAGCAAUCACACGGGAUGGCCAGGAUGUCUUCAGUUACCCAGAGAAACAUCUGUCAGACACCGCGUGACCUUCUAGCUGGAGAAACUAUAACACUACUACAAUCAAUCCUUAAAUUGUCCGCACUGCAUUUAGAAGUUCUGGAAAAUACUAGAUUUUAAACUUGUGAACUAAGAUCAUUCAAUAUGGUCAGUGUUCCCAGAUGAAACCUUAAUCAUGUACAACACCUAGGAAAGAUGUCGGCAAAGAAACAGUUCUAAUCUAAAUCAGGUCUCGGCCCAAGGAGGAAGAAGGCUCUUUAAAGGACAUUUCUCUUUCCGAC